CUGAUGGGCCUCUCCCUUCAGCUUCCACAGUCUGGUUCCGUACUCGUAGAUCUGGUCCAUGGAGAAAGAGCAGAAGGCAGACGACUUGUUAGCAUUUAAUUCACAGCGAAACAAAGAUUGGAAGUUCAAUUCAUAUGGAAACAAGUCACGGCUUGCGUCACGAGUGCCGACCGAGGAGCUUCCGUGAGGCGUCGAUGGGGAGAUCAACGGAAAAUUGUUGGGCUUUGGCUUUGGCCCAGUUAAGCGCUGAUAUUAAGGCUACGUUAGUGUAAUAUAAUGGAGUGUAAUAUAAUGUAAUUUGCCUUUGAUA